rnacentral:rRNA from 1 species
GAUGAACGCUGGCGGCGUGCCUAAUACAUGCAAGUCGAGCGAACAGACGAGGAGCUUGCUCCUCUGAUGUUAGCGGCGGACGGGUGAGUAACACGUGGAUAACCUACCUAUAAGACUGGGAUAACUUCGGGAAACCGGAGCUAAUACCGGAUAACAUGUUGAACCGCAUGGUUCAACAGUGAAAGACGGUCUUGCUGUCACUUAUAAAUGGAUCCGCGCCGCAUUAGCUAGUUGGUAAGGUAACGGCUUACCAAGGCAACGAUGCGUAGCCGACCUGAGAGGGUGAUCGGCCACACUGGAACUGAGACACGGUCCAGACUCCUACGGGAGGCAGCAGUAGGGAAUCUUCCGCAAUGGGCGAAAGCCUGACGGAGCAACGCCGCGUGAGUGAAGAAGGUCUUCGGAUCGUAAAACUCUGUUAUUAGGGAAGAACAAAUGUGUAAGUAACUAUGCACGUCUUGACGGUACCUAAUCAGAAAGCCACGGCUAACUACGUG